CAAGCAUUUUGAAGAAAAAUUCUCAUCCAACUUCCAUUCUUUUCCUUCUUCAAUUUGAAGAGAAUAUUUAAGAGAGAGUUUGGAAGAAGAAGAGGAAUUUUACUAGAAUUUUGAGGUUGAAGAAGAAGAGGAGAACUCAAGCAAAGUGUAUCCAUGACUGAAUUUUGGUUCAUUCUGCACAUCACUGGUUUUUAAUUCGGUUUGAACUCUUCAAAAAGAAUUAAGAGAAAACAGGGCAGUUGGUUUUCACUCAAAAUCAGGAGGUCUCCGGUUUUUCUUAUAUUUCAGAGUGUACUGAUGGAUUUAGAAUCUCUAUUUGUUAAAUUGUAGGGACAAGUUAAAGGGGUCGUAUGCGCGCGAAUUCUGGAAGUUUUUCUGUUUCGAGGGUUAUCAGAGUUUAUUCAUAGGGAAUCAGAUUUAUAUGUCUUCAAGUAGAGAUCGAUUGCUAGUACGUGUUUUGAGUUGGGCAUAGAGUUUGUUGUGUUAUGAUGUAUAUACACCCUUGUAUGUUAUAGAUACUCCAUAGUUUGUAUAACCUUUAGGAGUUUUAGUUGUGUAAAUUUUGUUGGUUAUAUUUUGAUUAAGGUGUCUUUAGGUUUACUCGUGAAAUCGGUAAAUUUUGAGGUACACUUCAUGUAUGUGUUUGACUAGCCUAGGAUCCACUGUGUUUUGUUGCAUGUAUAAUAGUUUAUAUACUAGAUUGGCAAGUUCAUCACAUGAAAGUUUUAAGUAGAGUCGACAGAUACAGGUACAGAAAAGCGUUGUUCGUCGGCUUCAUGCCAUCUUUCGGUCUAAGGUAGCAGGUAGUCCAGGAGGGGGUGUGACACCAAUCAACUAAGGAUGCUCAACUAAAAGAGGCGAAAGGUUUCGUGAAGACUCUACAACUUGAUGAGAACCGUCUAUUGGAGGUGACAAGCAGCUUCCAACAUCGACUUGCACGACUAUCUGCCAAGGAGGUUAAACUAGAAGCAAAGCGAAAAGCGGUAUGCACAAAGUCUAACAAACUUUCUGGUUUAAUUUCCAAAAAUGACAUGAAACUAAAGCAGAAGCAACAUGAUAUUUUGAAGACUUAUGAGGAAAUUGACAAACUCGAAUGUGCCCCCAUCGUUGAUGAUGCUGAUGUUAAACUACUGUCAGCCCUUUGUGAAUCUUGAGAAAACACACAAGAGGAGUUGAAACACCUUAAAUGGACUCUCUGAUUUACAACCUCCUAUUAUUUAUCCUUUUUUGUUGUCUUGGCUUUUGAAACCAAAAUUCACAAUAAAACGUUCACUUUGAUCGUUCGACGUCUUA